rfam:Chryseobacterium sp. IHB B 10212 strain IHBB 10212, complete genome.
UUGGGCGAAGCCGAAAACCCAUAAACAGAGUAGGCA